UUUGAUCCUGGCUCAGGACGAACGCUGGCGGCGUGCCUAAUACAUGCAAGUCGAGCGGAACCUUUGGAGCUUGCUCCAUUGGUUUAGCGGCGGACGGGUGAGUAACACGUGGGCAACCUGCCCUGCAGAUCGGGAUAACUCCGGGAAACCGGUGCUAAUACCGAAUAGUUUUUUGCCCCUCCUGGGGCGAAACGGAAAGACGGUUUCGGCUGUCACUGCAGGAUGGGCCCGCGGCGCAUUAGCUAGUUGGUGGGGUAAUGGCCCACCAAGGCGACGAUGCGUAGCCGACCUGAGAGGGUGAUCGGCCACACUGGGACUGAGACACGGCCCAGACUCCUACGGGAGGCAGCAGUAGGGAAUCUUCCGCAAUGGACGCAAGUCUGACGGAGCAAUGCCGCGUGAGCGAAGAAGGCCUUCGGGUCGUAAAGCUCUGUACAGGGGGAAGAACAAAUGACGGUACCCCUAUAAUAGCCCCGGCUAACUACGUGCCAGCAGCCGCGGUAA
rnacentral:rRNA from 1 species